CAUCAAGUUAGUGUUAUGAUUGAUAUUAAAUAUUAAUGUUCACUAACAUAACAGCCAUGUUUCCAUGAGCAAUUUAUUUUAAUGAUUCAGGAUUAUAUAUGUUUUUGUGAAAGACAAAAUUUUAGACGCGAUUCUAACCACUUGCGAAACAUGAAGUGUUUCUAAUAUGUCAGGUCUACAAUCUCCAAUUCAUGUCAUCCUCGUUGAGAUAAGUUCUAUUGAUCAUGCUCAGUAUACAUUCAUGUUAUUAAAUUUGAUUAGAUGUAUUAAUUUGCACAUGACAUCUGCUAUAUAUAUAUAUGUAUAUAUUUUUUUUUUUUGUUUAGAAAAUUGAUUGAAAAGUAAUCAAUAUAAAGAUGAUUAAUAGUAUGAUAGUACGAUUUAAUAAAUGUUAUAAUAGUAAACAAAAAAAAAAGAAGGAUGAAUAGGAUUUAUCACUCAUAGUAAAAUGUUAAUAGUAAUAUAAUCUGAUAUAUAUACUGAUAUACAUAUGUUAUAUUUUAUUAUCAUUGUAUAUAUAAGAGUAUUAAGUUUAAGGUUUGACCUUAAAAGAUCCAUACGUCUUGGAAAAUAAUCUAAAAAGGUAUUAUCACCUGAAUGUGAUUACCUAAAGCUCAUUAUGCAUUUUACAAGACCUGAAGUCUGUAAAUAAAUCUCAACUAUAUUAGAUGUUAAGUUUAAAAGUAAAAUUUCUCGAAGAAACUUUUACACAAACAAUGUGUCCAGUAGACAUAUGAUUGAGAAAAGAAAUUAAAAAAGUUUAUAUUAUAUUUUGUCUCUUUGAGACUGAUAAAAAUAAUGAGCUAUUGAUAUAAUCACGUCUAAUUGAUUAUGAACCAUUCUCCUGAAGAGAAAUAUGACAUUGAAAAAAAAAAUCCACAAAAUAGUAUUGGUCAAGAAAGUGAUCAUAGAAGUGGUUGUAGACGUGAAUGUGGAUAUAAAUAAGGUCAAGACCAAUGAGUUUCUUUUUAGAACUCAAAUUCUCACUUGAAGUUGAGAAAAUAAAGAUGGUAAUAAAGAAUAGAUAAAGAUGAAAGAAAAUUAUUGUGAGUACAAUACAAGUAGUAUAAAGCUUGUAGAAAGUUCAAGAAGAGGAUAUAUAUGAAUGCUCCUGAAGAGUACAUAAUAUUAUUGCACAUAAGAAUGCAAUUUAAAAUCCUUAAUGUAUUAUAUUCUUAUAAGUCUCAAAAGUAAGAAGGAUCUAAGAAAGAGUACAUGGCCCAUGUAAGGCAUCUUGUUGAUUCUAAUAUGAGAUUCAAUCGAGAUUGAUAAACCUGUAGUGAUAUCAUCUCGAAGGGAAGAGUUAAAGAAUCUCAUAUUUUAUAAUAAGUGAAACAUCCAGAAGAUUAUGUUUACACUAAAAGUUAGAUUGAUGAAUCUUUCUCAAAGUAAAUCUAUGAAAUUUUGAGACAAGUUAUGUUUAGAUACUAAGCAGAGGAAUUCACUUCCAAAAAUAUUUCUCAAGGCAGUAAAACCAUUUUAGAAAAAGUAUCUACAUCCUCUUAUAUAUUGUACUACACAAAGAUUAGUGUAAUGAAGAUAUAUAUAGAGUAAACCAGAAGUUUACAAAAUACUUGGCAUGAACCAGUUAGACCAUUUUGGUUCAGUGAUGAUGCGAAAUGAUACAUAAAGAUUUAUGUGAAUAUUCAUUGAAGAACCAGAAGAUUCUUGUGAAUAAUUUCACAAAUGUUUCUUGCUCAUAAGAUAAAAUGAAAAUACGGUUUUCACCAGCCAAAUGAAGUUAUUGGCAUGAAUAAAGGAGAUGUUGGUGGACUGAUCAUCCACUAUGCAUCUUUAUUGGUGAAUUCACGUCUAAGUCUUUGACGACUAUAAAAAAAAUUCACUGGGAUAAGUGUUAAAUAUUUUGAGCAACAUUAAUUUGCAUCAAGCCAAAAAGUAAUCAUUAAUUCUCCCCAUCAUUGGUAUUGGGUCAGAAACCAACCAUUUUCAUCUAAGAAUGUUGGAUGGCGAUAUACAUUCCAGAUGCUCCACCACAGAGCUUAAAAUAAGAUGAGUUUUCAAAUGAGGUUGGUAAUAUAUGUUGGAUAUGAAUCUCCAUUGAUACUUAAGCAUCUAUAGUCAUCCCCGAAGGAUAUAAACAAGGCUCGAUAUGAAUGCUAAAUACUGAAUUAGUAUUUCCAACAUAAGGAGGAGAAAAUAAAAAGCUGGAGAAGAAAACAAGUUGAAUGGAAUUAUCAUUGAUCCUCAGACUAAAGAAAAAGUGAAUCAGAAAUCUAAAAGAUAAUUCUAUAGCUUAGUAAAUCAGUUGCCAGAAGCAACUAAUGACCCUAAUAUAGUGUGACCAAGUCACAUAUACCAGCUAUAAAUGCUCUAAAUAAGAAUUGAUGUUCCAGAAGAAUAAUAUCAAACUGCCAGUUACGCCUGAAGCGUAGUAGACAUAUUGGUUCCAAAGAUAAAAAUCCUCGUAAACGAAAAGGAGCAUACAUUAAUAAUGGUCAAGAGGAAUAAGAGUUUUUGAAUGAUCUCCAGAAGAGACAUUAAACAUGACUGAAAGAAAUUCAGGUACCUGAGACAACAAAGAGAUCUCAAUAAAUUAUGUCAUGUAUGAAAUAAAAUGGAACCGAUAAGAAAAUCGACGUCGAUAAUAUUUAUGCAUGCAAAGUAGCAGUUGAUAUGAUGAAUAAGAAAGAGGAUCAUGAAAUAAAGUCUAUUGAAAAGUGUACACACAAAAAUGAUUGGCCAAAUCAUAAAGAAGUAAUAGACAAAAGAUACAAACUCUUGUUAAAGAGAGAUGUAUUUGGACCAGUAGUCCAUACACUAGAAGGUGUAAAAUAAAUGGGAUAGAAAUGUGGUUGCACCAAAGUAAGAUCAAUAUGAAAUUGAUUGUGAAGAGACAUAGUCUCAUAUGGUAGAUGCAACUACUUUCAAGUUUCUUACUAGUCUGGCAAUAAAGGAAGAACUUGAACUAUACAACCCAUUGGAAACUGAUAAUCCCUAAGAGAUAUAAUCCUUGAAGGAUUGAUGAUAUCAAAAUUAUAUUCCCAAGAACUCUAGCUAUUCAAUCGAAAUAUGUUUUAUGGGAUAUGUGAAAUAUUAGAAGUUAAUCAGUACAUCCAUUUGUAUUUAUCAAGAAAUUAUGAAUCAAUAGAAUCAUUGAUUUGAAUAAAAUCCAAACUCUUGAAGAGUUAUAACAAAUUGUUUGUUUGGAAGAAAGAUCUUGAAAAGACUACAUUGUUAUGUGUUCCAAACUAGACAUCUAGAAUAAGAGAUGUUAUCUUAAAAGAUCUUUAAAUAUUUUAAGAUGAUCAUAUAUAUGACUGGUCCUGAAGUACCAUACUUAAAACAAGCUAUGUUUUACAUAUGAUAAGACUGCAAUGACUUGCAGCAGAGACCAUAGCCGUGGACAUGUGUAUGACUGAGAUCAGCACGCCCUAAGUGACAUAUAAGAUGAUCACAGAGAUAGAAAAAGAGAACCAUUAAGGCUCACGCCAAAGACCAUACAAUCAAAGGUCAUAUCCGGUUCCAUUCAAGUCCAAUCAUCCAUGAGAGAUGAAUAAUAUGCCAACCCAAAACAUGAUAUGGUUUUGAGGUAUCAACUAUCAUUAUGCAUAGUUAUAGCAAAUGGUAAAGAUGGUCAUGAGACGCCAUCAAAGAAAAGUUGGACUGCGAUGUUUAAGUAAUAAGAUUACACUGUGGGACUGAAAUGUAAGCACGAGCUCUUAUGAUUGCAUCAGUGGAUAAAAGGGAAUCAUAAUGGUCCAAGGUUUUAACGAGGCAACAAAGAACACACAAAUGAUACACACCAGAAAGGAGUAUUUGAAACUCUAAUGCUGAUUUAAAGUCUUUGAAAGCAAGAGAAUCGAAGAAAAUGAUCAAGUCAUAGGAGGACUCAAGCACUGCAGAAGAACGGUGAUAUUCGUGUCCUACAAAUUGGCUGAUUUAUUCAUCAAGGCGGUACUCUCAGCUACUUUCGAGAAGUUAGUUCACCUGAUCAGAUUACAUCAUCUCAAAGAUCUCGACGAAUGUACACAUGAGGGGAAGUCAUUACGCGCUGCACUCUUUUUCCCUUAACCAUGGUUUUUCCCAUUGGGUUUUCCUGGUGAGGUUUUUAACGAGGCAGCAUCUACGGCGUUUUAAAAGCACUUCGACAUAUUGGACAUCAAGGGGAAGUGUUAUAAAUAUUGUAGUGAUGUCCAUAUGGAAAGUCCUAGAUAUACUUGUUCCCCACUCCAAGUUAAGCUUUGUCUCCAAGCUAUUGUAUCAUAUAUAAGGAGAUCAUUAUUCAUGGAAUAAGAUACACCAAUUCCUCUCUUCUCUUGUCUUUUCUUUCUUUACUUUAUAACAAAACCAAUUAUAUAGUUUCAAUAGAUGCAUAAGCGCUUCGUAGUCAUUAAUUAGGCCUUAUUGUAUUUAGUGUAAUCCUCUCUUUAAGCAGAGCCGGUCCUAGCAUAAUAGAGAGUAGAAGCAAAUUAAUAAAAUAUGGCUGGUGACGAAGGGCUUCGAACCCGGAUUGUCUGCACGCAAUUAUUUUCCUCCUUUAUGAACCACUAGACUAAGAAGACUUUUGACAAUUUUGUGGCUGAUAUUUUAAUUAUUUAAAAACGGCUGGAAGCAUGUGCUUCAUCCACUUGGUCCAAGGGCCGGCUCUAUCUUUAACCGGCUCUAUCUUUAAGUUUAUAAAAGAAGAUAGAUUCUUAAACAUGGAGUUUAUUCAUCGAAAAUCAAUACUCCCUCUGUUUCAAAAUGUAAGUAGUUCUACUAAAAAAAAUUGUUUCACAUUAUAACUAGUUUACAUAUUUUAUUGUAUCUUUCUCAUUUAUUUGAUACUGUUACCAAUAAAAUAAUGUUUAUUUUCUUUUAAUUGAUUGAAGUGAUUGAUUAAAUGAUAUAUUUUUCAGUAAUUAUUUUCUAAAUAUUUGUGCUUUUAAACAGAAUUAUUUAUAAUUAGAAGCGGAGAGAGUAAACAAUAGAAAAAGUGGAUGAUAGAAGUUAUGUGUUUGGCUAGAGUCACAUGAAAUUGUUCAUGUAUUUUGUUUGGUUGUUAAGUGUUUUUUGAAUUGAGAUUUCUUUGUUUACUAGAUUCCAACAUAUUAAUUUGUCAUUUCUUAUAAUAUGUACAUCUCUUGCAUAUGCAAUUCUAACUAUCACUCUCGAACGUAUCCCCACCUCAAAUUCUCUUCUCCCUCUUAUCUCUCUUUCAUUAUAUAAAAAUAUUGGGAACGUUGCUCUAUAUAUAUUAGCUGUAUUCUACAAAUUUUAUUAAUUUUGUUUUUAAAUAAACAGUUGACAUAUAUUCUAUUGGGCAUAUCCUGUUCCCUAAAUUAUUGUAAAUGAUGGGUAUAUUGGUUUAGUUGUGGUACGCUUUGGUUUGGUUAAUUUGAAUUUUAUCAAAUUCAAUCCAAUCAAAACUAAAGUUGUUUAGGUUUGAGUUUGGUUUGGGUUUAGUUUGAUUAUGUUAGGUUUAAAUUUAGUUUGAUUCACUUUAUUAUGUUUCAGUUCGAUUGGCUAUAAAAUUUGUUAGUAUUAGUUUGAUUAAAAUCUAACUUAAUUAUCAAAAGUGGGGAUAAAAUAGACACUUUGUUAGCUAAAUCCAUUUCUAAAACAAUGUAUAUAAAACAUAAAAAAUAUGAAUAUUAGGUUUAUCUCUUUCAUAAUAUGAUUUAACUAAAAACAUAUUUUCACUAAAAUCUAAAAGAAUAUUUGCAUCUACCAUAGUCUUUAUUGAUUAUAGAUGAACUUAUCAGGAUUAAACUUAGACAAUAUAUAUAAUAGUACUAUUUGCAUCAGUGGAUACUUAAAAACUAUAGAAGUUAAGAAAAAAGGAAAACUAAACUUUAACUAAACAAUUUUACAGUAUGUUAAUAUAUAUAUAUAUAUAUAUAUAUAUAUAUAUAUAUAUAUAUAUAUAUAAGAGAAAAGGAAAACUGAACUUUAACUAAACAAUUUUACAGCAUGUUAAUAUAUAUAUAGUAUUUAUUAAUAAAUAAAAAUAUUUUGGAUUAUCGGUUUGGUCCAGUUUAAAACCAAAUCAAACUAAACUAUUCGAGUUGAGUAAUAAAUGAACCAAUUGGAUUAUGUAGAGAACACGGUUUAGUUUAAUUCGGUUAAUUUUUGGUUGGGUUAAGUCGAUCCGGUUUGGUUUAGAUUUUUUUGCCCACCUCUAGAAUUAAAUGUCCAUCAAUUAUUAUUAUUUGUGUGGCACUGGAAUAAUUUGAAGUAAUAAGAUACAUAUAUUAUAUAUAUAUAAUAAAAUUAUGAUUUAUUUAUAACAAUAAAGUACAUUACAGCAUGUGUUUAUUCAAUUUUUAUGUUUAAAAGUUAUAUAAAUAUUUAAAUAUAUGGUAAAUGUUAUAAAUAUUAACUACUAAACAUUUAAAUAAUAUUAAAGUAUAUAAAAGUUAAAUCACCGUCAAGUUCUAGUUAGCAAAUUAAAGUACAUGUUUUGUAUAUGAUGAGUUGCUUACCAUGUUUGAACCAGCAUAACAAAAUAAUGUACACAAAUAUAUGGACCAAAAAUCCUUUACCAAUAUUUAUUUCCAUAAAUCUA